UACAGAGGGUGCAAGCGUUUGUUCGGAUUCAUUGGGCGUAAAGGGUGCGUAGGUGGCGCCGUAAGUCAGGUGUGAAAUCUCGGGGCUUAACUCCGAAACUGCAUUUGAUACUGCGGUGCUUUGAGGACUGGAGAGGAGACUGGAAUUUACGGUGUAGCAGUGAAAUGCGUAGAGAUCGUAAGGAAGACCAGUGGCGAAGGCGGGUCUCUGGACAGUUCCUGACACUGAGGCACGAAGGCCAGGGGGAGCAAACGGGG
rnacentral:rRNA from 1 species